CACGUAGGGUGCAAGCGUUGUCCGGAAUUAUUGGGCGUAAAGGGCUCGUAGGCGGUUUGUCGCGUCUGCCGUGAAAGUCCGGGGCUCAACUCCGGAUCUGCGGUGGGUACGGGCAGACUAGAGUGAUGUAGGGGAGACUGGAAUUCCUGGUGUAGCGGUGAAAUGCGCAGAUAUCAGGAGGAACACCGAUGGCGAAGGCAGGUCUCUGGGCAUUAACUGACGCUGAGGAGCGAAAGCAUGGGGAGCGAACAGG
rnacentral:rRNA from 1 species